rnacentral:rRNA from 1 species
AGAGUUUGAUCAUGGCUCAGAUUGAACGCUGGCGGUAUGCUUAACACAUGCAAGUCGAACGGUAACAGGCCUUCGGGCGCUGACGAGUGGCGGACGGGUGAGUAACGCGUAGGAAUCUGCCUUAUAGUGGGGGACAACGUGGGGAAACCCACGCUAAUACCGCAUACGCCCUACGGGGGAAAGGAGGGGAUCUUCGGACCUUUCGCUAUGAGAUGAGCCUGCGUUAGAUUAGCUAGUUGGUAGGGUAAAGGCCUACCAAGGCGACGAUCUAUAGCUGGUCUGAGAGGACGAUCAGCCACACUGGGACUGAGACACGGCCCAGACCCCUACGGGAGGCAGCAGUGGGGAAUAUUGGACAAUGGGCGCAAGCCUGAUCCAGCAAUACCGCGUGUGUGAAGAAGGCCCUAGGGUUGUAAAGCACUUUCAAUUGGGAGGAAAACCUGCCGGUCAAUACCCGGUAGCUUGACAUUACCUUUAGAAGAAGCACCGGCUAACUCCGUGCCAGCAGCCGCGGUAAUACGGAGGGUGCGAGCGUUAAUCGGAAUUACUGGGCGUAAAGCGUGCGUAGGUGGUUCGUUAAGUCAGAUGUGAAAGCCCUGGGCUCAACCUGGGAACUGCAUUUGAAACUGGCGGACUAGAGUUUAGUAGAGGGGAGUGGAAUUUCAGGUGUAGCGGUGAAAUGCGUAGAUAUCUGAAGGAACACCAGUGGCGAAGGCGACUCCCUGGACUAAAACUGACGCUGAGGUACGAAAGCGUGGGUAGCAAACAGGAUUAGAUACCCUGGUAGUCCACGCCGUAAACGAUGUCGACUAGCCGUUGGUCCUAUAUACAGGAUUAGUGGCGCAGCUAACGCAUUAAGUCGACCGCCUGGGGGAGUACGGCCGCAAGGUUAAAACUCAAAUGAAUUGGACGGGGGGCCCGCACAAGC